UACGGGGGGGGGCAAGCGUUGUUCGGAAUUACUGGGCGUAAAGGGCUCGUAGGCGGCCAACUAAGUCAGACGUGAAAUCCCUCGGCUUAACCGGGGACUGCGUCUGAUACUGGAUGGCUUGAGUUUGGGAGAGGGAUGCGGAAUUCCAGGUGUAGCGGUGAAAUGCGUAGAUAUCUGGAGGAACACCGGUGGCGAAGGCGGCCACCUGGACAGUUACUGACGCUGAGACGCGAAAGCGUGGGGAGCAAACAGG
rnacentral:rRNA from 1 species